rnacentral:rRNA from 1 species
CCUACGGGAGGCAGCAGUGAGGAAUAUUGGUCAAUGGACGAGAGUCUGAACCAGCCAAGUAGCGUGAAGGAUGACUGCCCUAUGGGUUGUAAACUUCUUUUAUAAAGGAAUAAAACGAGGCACGUGUGCCUUUUUGCAUGUACUUUAUGAAUAAGGAUCGGCUAACUCCGUGCCAGCAGCCGCGGUAAUACGGAGGAUCCGAGCGUUAUCCGGUUUUAUUGGGUUUAAAGGGAGCGUAGAUGGGUUGUUAAGUCAGUUGUGAAAGUUUGCGGCUCAACCGUAAAAUUGCAAUUGAUACUGGUAGUCUUGAGUACAGUUGAGGUAGGCGGAAUUCGUGGUGUAGCGGUGAAAUGCGUAGAUAUCACGAAGAACCCCGAUUGCGAAGGCAGCUUACUAAGCUGUGACUGACAUUGAUGCUCGAAAGUGUGGGUAUCAAACAGGAUUAGAUACCCUUGUAGUC